GAUCACUAAGCCAAGAGAGAAACUCCCCCCAGAGAAGAGAGAGGCAGAGUUCAGGUUGUGCUUAGCAGAAGAUCAGUUUGAGACCUACACUGACUGCAUCCCCAGGGCUUUUCAUCUCUUCUGUUUCCAUUUGUGAGCCACUAAAAGUUUUAAGCAAGAAAGUGACAUGUUUUAGCAAGAUCACUCAGGCUUCAGGGUAGAGAAUUAGAAGUCAAGACAGAAAGCUGGAAGACCGACAAGGAGACUGUUGGACUAAUAAAGUGGGCUGCGGCAGAAUGCAUCUUGCCAGACUCCAGCCAGCUACAGACAUCAGGAAGAGGGUUAAAGAUGGCCAGACACUAGGGGCAAAUCCCCUCCUCUUCUCUCCAACCCCAAACCCCAAGUACCAAGGUAAGAAAGCUGAGACUCGGAAAGGUUCUGCACAAGAGAGGCAGUGUUUGAAUGUUGCCUCACAGAGUAAGUUCCACAAGGGUGUCCUGCUCACCACCAUGCCCCCAGGGUCUGAGGCUGGGCCUGGCACACAGCAGCGCAGACAACAAGGAGUGAGUAUCUGUUGAACAAAUGGGUGAAUGCCGGCAGCAGAGUCCUCAGUGGGAACAUCCACCUAUCAAUCCCAGUGCAGCUGCAGCUGGUGCAAUGAGGAGGAAGAGAGGUCUCCUGAGAUCCCACCUCUCCCCCAGGUGCCCACCCUU